AUGAAAGCAUGUCUCCGAGUCCGUUUCACCUGUGGCCGUUUCCGCUAUGGUGAACGGACCUGAGUGAUUCGGUCAACCGGAUCAUUCACGGGGUUCGAGGCGGAAACGCGCGGACCUUCCUUUGUUGUAAAGGAGGCGCUUCAUUGAUGCA
rnacentral:ncRNA from 2 species